rnacentral:lncRNA from 1 species
GGCUCAAAACAUACAAAUAGAUGUUCAAAAAAAGAUAUUUAUACAUAUAGCGUAUAACAACAACACACUAUACAUUAACAGUGACGUCUGUCCUUUAUGCAGGCUUCUUAGAACAUGACUCAUUCUGAUGCUUCUUGUGGACUAUGUAACAAAUUAAAUACAAAACAUGGUAAAAUAGAAAUACGUUAAUUCUCUCCAAUUCCCCUUUAGAAUUAGCUACUAUUUCAAUCAUACCCAAUUCAAUUGCUUGAUCAAACACAAACACGUUAAAUUGUGUAUUUACACACGAGUCCUCU